AGUGAACGCUGGCGGUAGGCCUAACACAUGCAAGUCGAACGGCAGCACAGUAAGAGCUUGCUCUUACGGGUGGCGAGUGGCGGACGGGUGAGGAAUACAUCGGAAUCUACUUUUUCGUGGGGGAUAACGUAGGGAAACUUACGCUAAUACCGCAUACGACCUACGGGUGAAAGCAGGGGAUCUUCGGACCUUGCGCGAUUGAAUGAGCCGAUGUCGGAUUAGCUAGUUGGCGGGGUAAAGGCCCACCAAGGCGACGAUCCGUAGCUGGUCUGAGAGGAUGAUCAGCCACACUGGAACUGAGACACGGUCCAGACUCCUACGGGAGGCAGCAGUGGGGAAUAUUGGACAAUGGGCGCAAGCCUGAUCCAGCCAUACCGCGUGGGUGAGAAGGCCUUCGGGUUGUAAAGCCCUUUUGUUGGGAAAGAAAAGCAGCAGGUUAAUACCCCGCUGUUCCGACGGUACCCAAAGAAUAAGCACCGGCUAACUUCGUG
rnacentral:rRNA from 1 species